GUGCGGACAGUAGGAGCCCUGCAGGUGGUCCAGGACCCAGACCCCGCUCCUCAGGAGGGAGAAGCCAUCUUUACAACUAACAGUGACCAAGAGCCAGCAGUGAGCAGUGAUUCUGACAUCUCGUUAAUUAUGGCCCUGGAAGUGGGGCUGUCUGAUGUAGAACUUUCCACCGACCAAGACUGCGAGGAGGUGAAAUCUUGAGAAGGUAGAAAUGGACAAAAAGAAGACAUAGGAACCAGGGGGACAGGAAGGAAGCAUGCUCCGAGAAUUGAACUGGAUACACGGCCUUCGGGUCACCAUGGCAACCCCUUCAGGUCACCAUGGAAACCUUGAACUCUGUUCAGGGGCAGUACGAAAGCAAUAUCCAAAGUCUCCAGAGUCAGGACUCGGGUUCCCAUCUCUGCGACAGCCUGUGGCCUUGAUGUGGGAGUUGAAAGCUGGAUCCCUUGGUGUCUGUGCACACACGGCAAACCGGAAGGAGACCUUCACAGCUUCUUCACUUGAUUUCAGCCUCUCCCGUCUUCUUGCUCUUGUUUGGGAAAGACGGUUUCGGUCCCUCAGCAAUUUCUUUUUAAAGUUGAUGUGUAGUUUCCAAAUCAAUCCCUCUGUUUUCCCUUUGAUUCACCCCAGCCCGUGUACAGAGGUCAGUUUAGAAAUUCUGGUUGCUGCUCUGAUGAUUGGUUUGUACCGUGUCUCUGAGAUUCAUAGUCAUGAGCUAUCAGUGUCACACGUGUAUGGCUUUGAGGAUUGCCUCAGCACCCUGAAAUGGUGGGAGGCCAGAUCUUAUCCAGGGUCUAACCCCCUCCUCUGAGUGGGCCUUGGCAAGCCCAGCCGCCCGACGGCAGCAGUAAGUUCUGGAUCUACUAGUCGGUUGUUAUUUCAGCUCUGUUGCGUAGGCUUCUACUUGCCGUGCCCUGUCAGGGCCACCUUGACAGGACAGAACUGUCAGGGGGUGUGUGAGUCCUCUGACUUCAGGGUCUUAGUCAAAAACUCAGAAGUGCCCACAGGACACCAUGAAAAAGUUCAGAGUAUAUGGAACUAUAAGCCUAGUUUAAAAGAAAAAAAUGAUACCCCGUAUUCCCAGGGUAGGGAAGAUUCCUGACUCCCCGAUUUCCCCCAAGGCCUGAGCAGUUUAUCAUCUUCAUAGGUGAAUUCUGUAGGUGUGAGAUAUAGAAAAGACGCGAUCAGUUUUCUAGGGCACUGUCAUCCAGGCGUAAGCUUGCUUCAGGGACUGUCCUGUUGACCCUCACCAGCCUACACGGAAAUAUCUAAACAAGUCCUCGGCGGUUUGCAUCUGGGGUCUUCCUGAGAGCAUCCGGGCAUCGAGAGGAGAAUGAGGCACGAUCUGAUAAAGUCUGAAUGCCACUGUGCAUCAUGGGAAAUUGCUAAAUCGAGUUUCUUCUGAUGGUGAGAAUCAAAUAAUAUUAAAAGAGAAAAAUAUAACAAAUGACUAUGAAAACCCACUGUACUAUAAAGUGGUUUAUGAUUUUAUCCUCUUCUUGUCUGAAACAGUAACAAGAGUGUGCUGUGUCUCAAGUGGACAAUAUUGGGAUACGUGAAGCAAUUCCAGAGGCAGAGGUGGCCACCUGUGUCCCUCUGAAAUGAGGAGGCCCUGACCUGAGGACCCAGUGAGUCACACGUGACCGUGAGCCCAGGAAUGCACACUGAAUAUGCAUUUACAGGCAUGCAUUUUUCUGGAGCAAGUGCUGUACCAACUCUGCCCAACAGAAAUACAGCCCAAGUCACAUACAAAAAAAAAAAAAAAAAAUUGCCAGGGUUGGGGAUUUAGCUCAGUGGUAGAGCGCUUGCCUAACAAGCGCAAGACCCUGGGUUCAGUCCUCAGCUCCAGAAAAAAAAAAAAAAAUCCCAUUACCCACAUUUUAAGAAGCAAAAAAGAAACAGGUGAAAAUAAUUUGAUAGUAGUUUAUUUAACCUAAUAUUAUGGUUUUGAUAUGCAAAUGAUAUAGAAAGUAUUAGGGAAAUAUUUUCCUCUAUUUUUUGUUACCUAUUCUAAAUCCACUGUGUCUUUCACACAUCUCAAUUUCUACGAGCCACAGUUCAAGCUUUCCGUAGCCACAUGUGCCUAGUGGCCACCGGCUAGAAGGGCACAGCCCAAGAGAUGUUCCAGAAUCCUUACAGGUGUUCCUGACCCUGGCAGAAGAAAAGGGAAAAGAUUACGUCAGUUUUUCCCCCAAAAGAAAACCAGACUUGGGCUGGGGAUUUAGUUCAGUGGUAGAGCGCUUACCUAGGAAGUGCAAGGCCCUGAGUUCGGUCCCCAGCUCCGAAAAAAAGAACCAAAAAAAAAAAAAAAAAA
rnacentral:lncRNA from 1 species